rnacentral:rRNA from 1 species
UACGGAGGGUGCUAGCGUUGUUCGGAAUCACUGGGCGUAAAGGGCGUGUAGGCGGUCUGUUAAGUCUGAUGUGAAAUCCCCUCGCUCAACGAGGGAACUGCGUCGGAUACUGGCAGACUCGAGUACCGGAGAGGAAGGUGGAAUUCCCGGUGUAGCGGUGAAAUGCGUAGAGAUGUGGAGGAACACCGAUGGCGAAGGCAGCAUUCUGGGCCACCACUGAGGCUCAUGCACGAAAGCGUGGGGAGCAAACAGG